AUGAAUCUUCUUAGUUGGAACUGUCGAGGAGGUGGGAAUACCCGGAUAGUUCGAGAGUUGGCGACUAUAGCACAAUCGCAUUCUCCCAAUAUUGUGUUCUUAUGUGAAACUAGGCAAAAAGAAGGAAAGAUGAAGAGAAUAAGAAAUCGUUUAGGCUUGAAAGGAUUUGCUGGAGUGGAUAGCGAUGGAUUAAGUGGAGGCCUUGCCCUCUACUGG
rnacentral:rRNA from 1 species